AUACGUAGGGGGCGAGCGUUGUCCGGAAUGAUUGGGCGUAAAGGGCGCGUAGGCGGCCCGGUAAGUCUGGAGUGAAAGUCCUGUUUUUAAGAUGGGAAUUGCUUUGGAUACUGUCGGGCUUGAGUGCAGGAGAGGUAAGUGGAAUUCCCAGUGUAGCGGUGAAAUGCGUAGAGAUUGGGAGGAACACCAGUGGCGAAGGCGACUUAAUGGACUGUAACUGACGCUGAGGCGCGAAAGUGUGGGGAGCAAACAGGAUUAGAUACCCUGGUAGUCCACACUGUAAACGAUGAAUGCUAGGUGUAGGGGGUAUCGACCCCUUCUGUGCCGCAGUCAACACAAUAAGCAUUCCGCCUGGGGAGUACGGCCGCAAGGUUGAAACUCAAAGGAAUUGACGGGG
rnacentral:rRNA from 1 species